GGAAUUUCUAUCACCAACCAUUCUGAGGUCUGUCUGUUCAGCCUGAAGUUACCAUCCUGUUGAGGAACUCAGAGUCAUCCCAUAAUGACGACAAGUGAGUGCCAGCCUCGUGCCAGACAAUGUGGGCUCUGCAGGACAUUCCUUGUCUGCUUCAGAUCAUCUCAAGCCAUUUACCCCAGCUAUUGUGUUGCAACUGGUUCUGCAGACUGAGACCAGCUUCAUGUAGGGCCUACCCAAGUGCUCUUCUCUCCUACUUCUCACCAAGGACCCCUCUGACUUAAUGAUACCAGCCACCUAUGGGAAUAGAGGCACCCCUCAAAU